rnacentral:rRNA from 1 species
UACGGGGGGUGCAAACGUUGCUCGGAAUUAUUGGGCGUAAAGCGCACGUAGGCGGUCUUGUAAGUCGGGUGUGAAAGCCCGGGGCUUAACCCCGGAAGUGCACUCGAAACUGCAAGGCUUGAGUAUGGAAGAGGGUCUCGGAAUUCCCGGUGUAGAGGUGAAAUUCGUAGAUAUCGAGUGGAGCACCGGUGGCGAAGGCGGCUUUCUGGACAGGUACUGACGCUGAGACGCGAAAGCGUGGGGAGCAAACAGG